rnacentral:rRNA from 1 species
GUCCGAUUGGCUGGUUGGCGGGGUAAUGGCCCACCAAGGCGACGAUCGGUAGCUGGUCUGAGAGGAUGAUCAGCCACACUGGGACUGAGACACGGCCCAGACUCCUACGGGAGGCAGCAGUGGGGAAUAUUGGACAAUGGGCGCAAGCCUGAUCCAGCCAUGCCGCGUGGGUGAAGAAGGCCUUCGGGUUGUAAAGCCCUUUUGUCCGGGAAGAAAGCGCCCUGGUGAACAGCCGGGGUGGAUGACGGUACCGGAAGAAUAAGCACCGGCUAACUUCGUGCCAGCAGCCGCGGUAAUACGAAGGGUGCAAGCGUUACUCGGAAUUACUGGGCGUAAAGCGUGCGUAGGCGGUUCGUUAAGUCAGAUGUGAAAGCCCCGGGCUCAACCUGGGAAUGGCAUGGAUACUGGCGGGCUAAGAGUACGGUAGAGGGUGGUGGAAUUCCCGGUGUAGCAGUGAAAUGCGUAGAGAUCGGGAGGAACAUCCGUGGCGAAGGCGGCCACCUGG